UACAGAGGUCUCAAGCGUUGUUCGGAUUCAUUGGGCGUAAAGGGUGCGUAGGUGGCUCGCUAAGUCAGGUGUGAAAUUUCGGAGCUUAACUCCGAAACUGCAUUUGAUACUGGCGUGCUUGAGGACUGGAGAGGAGACUGGAAUUCACGGUGUAGCAGUGAAAUGCGUAGAGAUCCGGAAGAACACCGGUGGCGAAGGCGGUCUGCUGGGCAGUAGCUGACACUGAGGCGCGACAGCGUGGGGAGCAAACAGG
rnacentral:rRNA from 1 species